CCGCGGCGGCCUCCCGGAGCCCGGCGCGGUGCCGCCGGGGCCGGGGGAGUGACUUGCGCUCCCUCCGCCUCCCGCGCCUUCAGCCCUCCUCCGGGUAGACGGAGAGGAGGAGGAGGAGGAGGAGGGCGAGUGGUGGGAGGGUCUCCAUUGAAAUAAACAAGCAGGCAGUUAUUAAAACGGGAACAUGGCGGCCGCAGCCCCAGCGUCGGCUUCAUCUCACAAAGCGAAGCACACUUGAGAUGUAUCUGAGCACUGAAGCCCAGCACGCACACAACCUGUAGGACUCUGCCCGCCUCACUGAGGCUUGUUAAGUUAGUGGCCUGCGGGCAUUGUCAGGAUUGGUUUGACAUCUGGACAGUAUUUCUUCCUGAUAAGUAUUAAGUACUUUUUAUUGUGCUUAUUGCUCUGUGUGAAAUGAAUAUAUAUCAAGCUUCACUACUGCCUUGCAAGAU
rnacentral:lncRNA from 1 species